rnacentral:misc_RNA from 1 species
GAUGAAGAACGUAGUGAAAUGCGAUAAGUAAUGUGAAUUGCAGAAUUCAGUGAAUCAUCGAAUCUUUGAACGCACCUUGCGCCUUUUGGUAUUCCGAAAGGCACACCUGUUUGAGCGUCAUGAAUACCUCAAUCUCCAUCUUUUCUUCGGAUUGAUGGGUGACUUGGAUGUUGAGCCCUGCUGGUAUGCUAUAUCAGCUGGCUUUAAACUUAUUAGCCGGCUCUGUACUGGAUCGGUUUGACUCGACGUGAUAAUAUUAUCGUUGAGGAUGCAUGUCUCAUGCGGCCGGAAAGUAUCAAAGCAGCUUCUAGCUUGCCUUUAGUGCACUUUUACAUUUUAGACCUCAGAUCAGGUGGGACUACCCGCUGAACUUAAGCAUAUCAAUAAGCGGAGGA